rnacentral:rRNA from 1 species
UACGUAGGGUGCAAGCGUUGUCCGGAAUUAUUGGGCGUAAAGAGCUCGUAGGCGGCUUGUCACGUCUGCUGUGAAAACUCGGGGCUCAACCCCGAGCCUGCAGUGGAUACGGGCUAGCUAGAGUGCGGUAGGGGAGACUGGAAUUCCUGGUGUAGCGGUGAAAUGCGCAGAUAUCAGGAGGAACACCGGUGGCGAAAGCGGCUUCCUGGUCCGACACCGACGUUCAGGCACGAAAGCGUGGGGAGCAAACAGG